rnacentral:rRNA from 1 species
GAUGAACGCUGGCGGCGUGCCUAACACAUGCAAGUCGAGCGAUUCUCUUCGGAGAAGAGCGGCGGACGGGUGAGUAACGCGUGGGUAACCUGCCCUAUACACAUGGAUAACAUACCGAAAGGUAUGCUAAUACAAGAUAAUAUAAGGAAUUCGCAUGGAUUUCUUAUCAAAGCUCCGGCGGUAUAGGAUGGACCCGCGUCUGAUUAGCUGGUUGGUAAGGUAACGGCUUACCAAGGCGACGAUCAGUAGCCGACCUGAGAGGGUGAUCGGCCACAUUGGAACUGAGACACGGUCCAAACUCCUACGGGAGGCAGCAGUGGGGAAUAUUGCACAAUGGGCGAAAGCCUGAUGCAGCAACGCCGCGUGAGUGAUGAAGGCCUUCGGGUCGUAAAACUCUGUCCUCAAGGAAGAUAAUGACGGUACUUGAGGAGGAAGCCCCGGCUAACUACGUGCCAGCAGCCGCCGCGG